UUAACUGAAUUCACAUAACUUCUAUUCUGCUUCUAAUUUUCAUUUCAUCCUCCUGGCCUCUUGUAGAAUCUAGUAUCACUCAUCCAUAAUUUCAAAGCCUAGAUGGAUUGUUCCACUUUUUGUUCUUUGACGAACGUCACUUAGAUAAAGAAGGCAAAAUUACCAAGACCACAAAGCUAAGAAAGAGUUACACUACUAUUGAAGUUUCCAGAACUGCUGCAUAUACACAGUGACUGAAAGGACUCAAUUUACUGCAACUGCUGCCUGGCUUUUACUUACAACUUUCUUUAAAGGAACUUGCCUUCCAUCUGUCUUUACAAGUGUGAGAAGAUUAACUAUUAUACAUGCAGCCAGUAGGAAUCUGAUUCAAAUGCUGUGUUCAUUUGACCCGUGGACCCCAAAUAUCUAAUGUAAACAAAAAUCUGAACAGCAUCAACACAUAAUCAAGUGGCAGGAACGUGAAGACCAUGGGUCAGUAGCAAUUGUGCAAGGUGCAUGCUUUUAGAGUGAAGAAUGUAAAGACAAUUUUGAUGCCAUUCAAUGAUAUCAGC
rnacentral:lncRNA from 1 species